rnacentral:rRNA from 1 species
GACGAACGCUGGCGGCGCGCUUAACACAUGCAAGUCGAACGGAAAGGCCUGCUUUCCCUUGUGGAUUGCGGGUACUCGAGUGGCGAACGGGUGAGUAACACGUGAGUGAUCUGCCCCCAACUUGGGUAUAAGCCUGGGAAACUGGGUCUAAUUCCCGAUAGGACUGCAGGGUGGUGCCUGUGGUGGAAAACGAUUUUCUAGUGGGUGGGGAUGAGCUCGCGGCCUAUCAGCGUGUUGGUGGGGUAAUGGCCUACCAAGGCGGCGACGGGUAGCCGGCCUGAGAGGGUGGACGGCGAGAGUGGGACUGAGAAACGGCCCAGACUCCUACGGGAGGCAGCAGUGGGGAAUAUUGGAGAGUAGGCGGGAGCAUGAUGCAGCGACGCCGCGUGGGGGAUGCCGGCCUUCGGGUUGUAAACUCCUUUCGACCGCGAGGAAGCCACCUGGUUGGAAGGGUGGUGACGGUAGUGGUAGAAGAAGCACCGGCUAACUACGUG